UUCCGGUUGAUCCCGCCGGACCCCACUGCUAUCGAGGUGGGACUAAGCAAUGCUAGUCGAACGACCCGAACUAUGUCGGGAAGUGGCACACGGCUCAGUAACACGUAGCUAACCUAACCUAAGGACGGAGAAAACCUCGGGAAACUGGGGUUAAUAACCGAUAGGUAUGAUGUCCUGGAAUGGUAUCAUGCCCAAAGGUGUUCACAGCAUGUUGUUAACAUGCCUUAGGAUGGGGCUGCGGCUGAUCAGGCUGUUGGCGAGGUAAUGGCUCACCAAACCUUUGACCAGUACGGGCCAUGAGAGUGGUAGCCCGGAGAUGGACACUGAGACAAGGGUCCAGGUUCUACGGAACGCAGCAUGCGCGAAACCUCCUCAAUGCACUCAAGUGCGAAGGGGUUACCUCGAGUGCCACCUGAUGAAGGUGGCUUUUGUAUAGUAUAACACGCUAUUCGAAUAAGAGGGGGGCAAGACUGGUGUCAGCCGCCGCGGUAACACCAGCCCCUCGAGUGGUGGGGAUGAUUAUUUGGCCUAAAGCGUCCGUAGCCGGCCAUGUAAGUCUCCCGUUAAAUCCAGCGUCUCAAGCGUUGGACUGCGGGAGAUACUGCAAGGCUAGAGGGUGGGAGAGGUAUGCGGUAUUCUGGGGGUAGGGGCGAAAUCCUUUGAUCCCCGGAGGACCACCAGUGGCGAAGGCUGCAUACUAGAACACGCCUGACGGU
rnacentral:rRNA from 1 species